UGUCGUCGUUGUUCGGGCCACGGCCCAUGGGUCUAUUGGGCCUCUUCACACAUUGUUCUGACAUUACAAAGUGAGGCCUUUCAAUUUUUUUUCAUUUAUAUUUUGUCAAACGAUAGAUUUUGUUAGAUUAGUUAGAUUAGUCACCAACGAAGUUUAAACCCACACUGUCAUUGACUAGGGAUUUUCACUUGCAUUGGAGAGAAUCUCUCCAUUUUUAAGGGGUACAAGCCCAAAAGUCGAGAACUAAUACCUAAAAUUUAAGUGAUUUUAACAUGUGUUAGAUCGAAAGAGGAAAACUACGUAGACUUUUGGUUGACCUAAAUAAAGGACUUAUCAACUAGCGGUAAUCAUCCAGAUAAAACUCAUACAAUUACGUUCGAUUAGAUAUCAAUAUAUAGCACUAUUAAUUAAAAAGCCUCCAAAUCACUCUCAAUUAAGAAUCUUAUUUAUUAUGGAAUCAACAAGCUAAAUAUUAUGAUCAUGUAAGUGAGAGGUUUUAUGUUCGAUUCUCGCCAAAGGCGAAUUUGAACCACAUUAUUGUUAGCCCAUUUUGAGGCUAAGAUCAUCUCCUCCCCUUUAUUGAUCAUCACCCUAUUACGUAUUCUUUUACAACGAUCCGAGCUCUCUAUUUUUUAAUCUUUUCAUUGAUCAUUCUUACAAAAAAUUAAUUCAAUUUGAAACCAUUUACAUGUUUAAGUAUCAUCAAGAAAGUUCAUAUUUUUUAAAACACCACGUUUUUCUAUUUCGUUGUCAAAAUUAGAUGUCUCAAUUUUUCUAAUUUGACUAAUAUUUUGCAAAAAUAAGAUAAUCUAGAAAGUAAAUUUUUAAAAGAAAAAAUAGACUAUCAGGAUCAUGAAAACCAAUAUGAAGUGUGCCACAUAAGAAUCCCCAUUUUUACAAAUAA
rnacentral:lncRNA from 1 species